rnacentral:rRNA from 1 species
UACGAAGGGGGCUAGCGUUGCUCGGAAUCACUGGGCGUAAAGCGCACGUAGGCGGGUUGUUAAGUCGGGGGUGAAAUCCUGGAGCUCAACUCCAGAACUGCCUUCGAUACUGGCGACCUUGAGUCCGGGAGAGGUGAGUGGAACUCCGAGUGUAGAGGUGAAAUUCGUAGAUAUUCGGAAGAACACCAGUGGCGAAGGCGGCUCACUGGCCCGGAACUGACGCUGAGGUGCGAAAGCGUGGGGAGCAAACAGG